rnacentral:lncRNA from 1 species
AUAACUUAGCAAAGCAUAAAAAUGAAGGGCCCAAGAGCAAGAAAACCGAAAGAGACAACAAAAAUUGGUUCAAUAAAAAAGGCAAUAAUAACCUUUAACAUGAUCAAUUUGAACAAAAGGAUGAUUUCUCAUGCAAGCAGAAACAGAGUUGAUUUUUAUAACCCAUAUGAAAAGAUUAAUUGUUCCAGAGUUGAUUUUUAUAACCCAUAUGAAAAGAUUAAUUGUUCCAGAGUUGAUUUUUAUAACCCAUAUGAAAAGAUUAAUUGUUCCAGAGUUGAUUUUUAUAACCCAUAUGAAAAGAUUAAUUGUUCCAGAGUUGAUUUUUAUAACCCAUAUGACUUGGAAUGAAAGUCCUUGUCAAAACAAAAACCAUCUUUUGAUUUCAGUCAAAAAAUCAAGAAAGAGAAAUAAUCUCAAAGAGGCAACUUACGGUUCAAAUCAACUUUUUCUAAGGUUUGUACACACCAAUUAUAUUCUCUGGAAAGUUUCGCUUUCACCUUCCAGAAUCUUCCUCGCAUCAUACACCGAUAUCCUAUUUCUGGCACACGUCAUCGGGGACAGGAACGCCAGGAUGUUGGUCGUGCCGGAGUGGUACACGACUCGCCAGGGAAAAAACCGCCGUAGUUUAGCCGGACAAGGCUUAUAAUUUGACAAGAUAGAUGGUUCUUGAAUAAUCAAGAGUGAGAAAGAACUCAUCAACAACGCGUUUGUUUCUUGAAUACGCCACCGAUUACGAAACCCUAACUAUAUGCUUAAUUCAAUCAUAUAAAAAGUUGACAUUUUUUUGACAUUAAUUGAUCAUAAUCGUAACCGAUUACGAAACCCUAACUAUAUGCUUAAUUCAAUCAUAUAAAAAGUUGACAUUUUUUUGACAUUAAUUGAUCAUAAUCGUAACCGAUUACGAAACCCUAACUAUAUGCUUAAUUCAAUCAUAUAAAAAGUUGACAUUUUUUUGACAUUAAUUGAUCAUAAUCGUAACCGAUUACGAAACCCUAACUAUAUAUUUUACACUGUCAAUUAAUCAUAAUCGUAUGAUUAAUAAAAUAUUUUAGUUUUUAUGAUAAUUACUUUUAAAGUCAUAUUUAUAAAUGUUUGUGCUCUGCUGACAAUAUAAAACUGUUUACAUUGACAAAACAUAACGAUGAAACUUUAAAAAAUUUAAUGUUUUGAAAAAAAUAAAUUAAAUUUUUUUUUUUAAUUAUUAAGAAUGAUGAUAUAUUAUCUCUCUAAUAAACGUAAGAGUGUGAUCGUCCAUAUAUUUUUAUAAAUUUAUAAUUUAAAAUUCUUAUAUAUAAUAUAAUAUUUUUUUAUAUAUCUAUUAAAAUUUUAAAAAUUUAAUCGUAUCAAUAUUUCAGUUCGAGCUCCGUCAAUAUAUGCCUUUUUAAAAUGGUGCACACUCAGUACACCAAACUAUGAAUAAGCUUGUGUUCUGAUAUGUUUAUAUAUGACUGUGAGAGGUCUACAUGCUAAAAUUCGAAUCAAUAAAAUUAAAAGUGGGAUAACCUCUGUUUUUCUUUUUUUAAUCAGAGUCCCAAUUCGUUUUUUUAUAAAAAAAUUCUUAGUUAUUUAUAAUUAUGAGAGUGUGACAACUUAAUAAUUAGUCUAAAAAUAUGUUGGGUUUCGGAAGAAAUGAGUAUACUAAACAUCCAAAACUUGAGGACUUAAUAUUUAUUCUGUUAUAUCGGUCUAUUGAAAAAUCUACUUUAUUAUUUUCUCUAUUUUUUAUUUUUGAAUUUUAGUUCUUUUAGUUAUGGAUAUAUAUUAAAAAAUAAUAAUUUAUUUAUUAAGUAAAAAUAAAUUUUAUUUAGGACAUGUUUUUUAAUUUUUAAGAGUACAAAAGAAAAAACAUCAUUAAUUGUAUUAUGGUUUUUUAAAAUAGCAAAAGCUUUAUGAUAAAAAUAAAAUGCUUAAAAGACUAAAGAUUAGAUUUAGAGGAGAUAUUGUUUAAGGAGUGAUAUAUUUUAUUUUUUAAAAAUGACAAGUUAACAGGUCAAUGAGAUUAAUUAACUUCUAUUUUGACAUCUAAUAUACCUUUUUGAGAAUCUAACUUUAUAUAAUAUUUUAUUUAAUUUUGUUUAUAAUAAUACCUUUAUUUUUUAGUCAAAUAAUUUAGUGAUAAGACUCACACAUUUAAGUGUGGAGAAGUGAAAAAUCAUAUGCUUUUAACUUAGACUUUUGCAUAUCAAUGUUACUACUAAUUAAAUUGUACUUAUGAGAUAACAAUUCAUUUAAAUAUAUCAAAAAAUUGAAGUUGGUCAAUAUAUUUAAAUUAUAAAAAAUAUUAACAAGUCUAUAAAUUUAAAAUAAAAAUUAUAAUAUUAGUAAAAAUUAUGAUUCGAAUUUAUUUAAGUCAAUCUAACAAAUUUAAAAUUAUUUAUUUAUUUUUGUGACAAUUACUUUAAACAUUUUUAACUAAAUAAACUUUUAAAAAAUCUUUUAAUAUUUUCUAUUUUAAAAAAAGUCUUUAUCUAACUAAAAUAACCCAUAUAUCCAUAUUCGUCUGCCCAGUUUAUUCCUACUACAAUAAUGGUCUAAUUUGUGCUUUAAAGUGUGUGAGAGCCCCAUAUUCCAACAAUUUACACCAAUAUACUCAAACUCUUCCUCCCCCGCUUAUAAACCACCUUAGGACCCAUUUAGCCUCCUGUUUACAUUUUCACUUCAAUGAAUAGACAUAAAAAUUUGUAGAUUCCAUAUUUUUGUUACAACUUUAUUUUGCAUUUUUUAAAAUAGAUUUAUAUUUUUUUAAAUGGCAAAAAUAUUAUUUUCAUUGAUUAUGAAUCAACAAUCUUCAUAGUUUCUCUUUCGUAUUUUUUCGUAUUCUUUUUAUCCUUUUGUUACUAUUUUAAAACGAAUAUAUAUUUUUUAAUUUUAAUUUUAGUUUUAGUCUAUCUAUUUUUAUUAAUUUAUAAUAGUGAUUCUUUUAUUUUAAAAAUCGAGAGUUUUAAUUAUUAUCUCAAACGUGACAUAUAAUUUUAUGAUAUAGAAUAAUUUAUAUACAUUGAUUAUUUAUAUGUUAUUAAUUAAAUUACAAAUAUAAAAUAAAUUUAAAAUAAAAAAUUAUAUUUUUAAGGUGUUUUAUAUUGAUUUUAUGAGUAUUAAAUUUUUUACAUUAUGAUAUCAUAUGACACGUUAUUUAAAGCAUGUCAUAUGACUAUUUUUCAGUUAAAAAAUAAUAAUGAGUUAAUAAUGCAAUUUCAUUCAGGGUCACCGAGGCAUUCUCACAACAAUAAUAUAUUCCAUAUUAUCAAAAAAUAUUUCAUCUCUUAUAGGGACUAAAGGUCAUCAAAUUUCAAUUAAUGCCUUAUAAAUAAAACCCAUGGUUGAAAUUACAUUUAAGGCAUCAUCCAACUUUCAAAAAUGAAAGAAGUGUUCAAAAUUCAUUUAGAGUCACUUAGGCAUCACACUGAGGGACUAGGGUCAUCGAAACUCAAUAAAAUACCUUAUGAAUAAAAAUUCAUAUUCGAAAUAGCAUUUAAGGCAAAUCCAACUUUCAUAGUAUAAAUAAAGAGUUAAUAAUGCAAUUUCAUUCAGGGUCACCGAGACAUUCUCACAAUAAUAAUAUAUUUCAUAUUAUCAAAAAAUAUUUCAUCUCUUGUAGGGACUAAGGUCAUCAAAUUUCAAUUAAUGCCUUAUGAAUAAAAGUCAUGGUUGAAAUUCCAUUUAAGGCAUCAUCCAACUUUCAAAUAUGAAAGAAGUGUUCAAAAUUCAUUUAGGGUCACUUAGUCAUCACAUUGAGGGACUAGGGUCAUCGAAACUCCAUAAAUACCUUAUGAAUAAAAAUUCAUAUUCGAAAUAGCAUUUAAGGCACAUCCAACUUUCAUAGUAUGAAUAACGAGUUAAUAAAGCAAUUUCAUUUAGGGUCACCGAGGCAUUCUUACAAUAAUAAUAUCUUUCAUAUUAUCAAAAAAAUACUCCAUCUCUUGUAGGGACUAGGGUCAUCAAAUUUCAAUUGAUGUCUUAUGAAUAAAAAACCAUGGUUGAAAUUACAUUUUAAGGCAUUAUCCAACUUUCAAUUAUGAAUAAAGCAUUCAAAACUCAAUUUCAUUUAGAGUCACCUAGGCAUCCCAGCUCUCACAAAAAGACUACAUGAAUCAAUUCUCACAAAAAGAUUACAUGAAUCAGCUAUCAUAAAAAGAUUUAAUUUCAUGUGGGGACUAGUGUCAUCAAAGCUCAUGAAGGGACUAGGGUAAUCGAAAUUCAAUUGAUAUUGAACAAUUAAAAAUUAAUGAUUGAAAUUGCCUUUAAGAAUGGUUAUCAGGCAUUCCAACAGUAACAAAAAAUCAUUUUAAUCAGAUGAUGAAAAAUCAUGAAUAAAGAGUUGAUAUAAAGCACAGCAUCAUAACUUAGCAAAGCAUAAAAAUGAAGGGCCCAAGAGCAAGAAAACCGAAAGAGACAACAAAAAUUGGUUCAAUAAAAAAGGCAAUAAUAACCUUUAACAUGAUCAAUUUGAACAAAAGGAUGAUUUCUCAUGCAAGCAGAAACAGAGUUGAUUUUUAUAACCCAUAUGAAAAGAUUAAUUGUUCCAGAGUUGAUUUUUAUAACCCAUAUGACUUGGAAUGAAAGUCCUUGUCAAAACAAAAACCAUCUUUUGAUUUCAGUCAAAAAAUCAAGAAAGAGAAAUAAUCUCAAAGAGGCAACUUACGGUUCAAAUCAACUUUUUCUAAGGUUUGUACACACCAAUUAUAUUCUCUGGAAAGUUUCGCUUUCACCUUCCAGAAUCUUCCUCGCAUCAUACACCGAUAUCCUAUUUCUGGCACACGUCAUCGGGGACAGGAACGCCAGGAUGUUGGUCGUGCCGGAGUGGUACACGACUCGCCAGGGAAAAAACCGCCGUAGUUUAGCCGGACAAGGCUUAUAAUUUGACAAGAUAGAUGGUUCUUGAAUAAUCAAGAGUGAGAAAGAACUCAUCAACAACGCGUUUGUUUCUUGAAUACGCCACCGAUUACGAAACCCUAACUAUAUGCUUAAUUCAAUCAUAU